AUGAUCGUAACGGAGACCAUCGUCCAGCUGCCGCCAAACGAGCCAAGCACUCCGACUCCGACUCAUGUACCCGCCGACGUGCACGAGACUCUAGUCCGCGUCUUCUCUGACGAGGUGCCCACUGACGUGGCCCUCGAGGUCGGCGAUGAGACCUUCCGGGCACACAGGUGUUUCCUCGCGGCUCAGUCACCGGUGUUCGCUGCCUUGUUCACGGGGUCGAUGAGGGAGAAGACCGCCCCUUCAGUUCGGAUCGACGGCAUGGAGCCCCGGGUGUUGGAGGCCAUGCUCGGCUUCAUCUACAGAGGCAACCUGCUGCCACCUCAUGUCGUUGACGAGAGUGACAGAAUCGCCAUGACUCAACAUCUGCUUGUGGCCGCGGACAGGUAUCACCUCCAGAGGCUCAAGUCCAUAUGCGAGGAGAAGCUACGCAGACAUAUCAACACAACCACAGUGGCGACGACGCUGGAGCUGGCUCACCGGCAUGGCUGUCACGCGCUCAAGGACGCAUGCUACGAUUUCCUUGCUCCUCCUAGAGGCAAUCUCAAAGCAAUUUUCAAGAGCGAGGGCUUUGAGCAACUCAUCAUCGAUUACCCGUCCGUUGUAGUGGAGUUAUUAGGCAGGGUUGCUCCCUCACCCCGUUGA
rnacentral:rRNA from 1 species